GUUAACUGAUGCUAUUCUAAAGGGUUACUCUUGUCAGGGUUCAGUUUACAUGGACGUGGUGUCCCAAGGUGUUCUGGAGCAGUGAAUACAUGUCAAUCAGUGCUUCUAAGGAAAGCAUUGAUUGGAAUAGACUCAGGUCUAUAGGCUGUGAUGUCCAAGAUGCUUCAUUCUAUGUGUGGUGAAGAGUUUCCUAUUGUAAAAAGAUAAAUCAUCUCAUGGACUUCUAUGCUUUUGAAAAGAUACAUGUAGACAUUGAGAUGUUUCCAAAUGAAAUAGAAGGUAUAAGGUGAAUGGCAGCUGACAUUAUUAAAGGAUGUCUGAAGGAAACACAUGUUCUCUUUCCACACGGACUUCCCUAAAUCCACUGGGUGGUGAUGGAGAGAUGAUAUAAGGAGAGGUUAAUUGUGAAGAUGGAAGAAGAGGAACGGGAAUAGCAGGAGAGCCCCAGGACACAGACACCAUAGUGGGAGAACCACAAGGCGGAGCCUCUGCAACACUUGAUUUCACACUCUAGUGAAGAGAAGCAAGUACUUCAAUCUGCUUCAUUGCCCCAUCUUGCCAGAGCAUUAAAUGCUUCACAGAAUGAAAACAGAAAAACCACAAAUUGGCAUUUUUAGAAACCACUGAAGUGAACUUUGCCUCCCGUAGAGAUGUGGAGAGAACUGGGAAGGAUUCACUGAUUAAACGGACCUGUAGUCAGAUGUUUGAAGAUGAGGCUCUCUAGACUAGAGACAUUAAGGUGCCACACACCAUCCACAGGAACUGAAAGAUACUAUUCAGUAUUUCAUGCGCUUGCAAUUCUGUGCUUCUUGGUACCUGAUUACCCUGCCGUCCUAGAAGAAGAUAAUAAGUGAGAAAAAGAGACAUAGAUGGAACUCUGAGAAAUACUGACACUUAAGAUGUUCCAAGAGAAAAAAAUCCAGAAGGAGAAAAUGAACUAGCUUAUGUAAGACAAGGAAGAAAACAACUUCUAGAAGAAAGAUUGUCUGGGAGGCUGAGGCAGGAGGAUUUUUGAUUCAAGACCAGGUUAAUACAAUAGUGAGCUCCUGUCUCGGGGGGAAUAGAAGGAAGCCGCUUCUACUCUCAGCUUGCCUGGGAAGAUGAAGAAAGCAAGAAACAGCUACCUAGUACUCAACUCCCACGGAGAACACACAAAGGAAAAGCUUGUCAUGUGGAUUUCUCCUCCAUCAAAAGAAACGUUUUCUGUCAUCCAAGGAGUAAAACUGAACCUUGUCUUUUUUCCCUUUGCAAAAUAAACUGACUUGUUAGUCUG
rnacentral:lncRNA from 1 species